GAUAAACGCUGGCGGCGUGCCUAAUACAUGCAAGUCGAACGGAAGGUUUGUAGCAAUACUAACCUUUAGUGGCGAAUGGGUGAGUAACGCGUUGGUGACCUGCCCCGAAGAGAGGGACAACAGUUCGAAAGGACUGCUAAUACCUCAUGUGGUUACAAGGAUUAGAUGCCUUGUAUCUAAAGGAGCAAUCCGCUUUGGGAGGGACCUGCGUCCCAUCAGCUAGUUGGUAGGGUAACGGCCUACCAAGGCUACGACGGGUAGGGGGCCUGAGAGGGUGGCCCCCAACAUUGGCACUGAAACACGGGCCAAACACCUACGGGUGGCAGCAGUAGGGAAUAUUGCACAAUGGGCGAAAGCCUGAUGCAGCAACGCCGCGUGCGCGAUGAAGGCCUUCGGGUCGUAAAGCGCUUUUUGAGGAGAUGAGGAAGGACAGUAUCCUCAGAAUAAGAUUCGGCUAACUACGUGCCAGCAGCCGCCGUAACAC
rnacentral:rRNA from 1 species